AACACGUGAGCAACCUGCCCCUGACUCUGGGAUAAGCGCUGGAAACGGCGUCUAAUACUGGAUACGAGACGUGGCCGCAUGGUCAACGUUUGGAAAGAUUUUUCGGUUGGGGAUGGGCUCGCGGCCUAUCAGCUUGUUGGUGAGGUAAUGGCUCACCAAGGCGUCGACGGGUAGCCGGCCUGAGAGGGUGACCGGCCACACUGGGACUGAGACACGGCCCAGACUCCUACGGGAGGCAGCAGUGGGGAAUAUUGCACAAUGGGCGGAAGCCUGAUGCAGCAACGCCGCGUGAGGGAUGACGGCCUUCGGGUUGUAAACCUCUUUUAGCAGGGAAGAAGCGAAAGUGACGGUACCUGCAGAAAAAGCGCCGGCUAACUACGUGCCAGCAGCCGCGGUAAUACGUAGGGCGCAAGCGUUAUCCGGAAUUAUUGGGCGUAAAGAGCUCGUAGGCGGUUUGUCGCGUCUGCUGUGAAAUCUGGGGGCUCAACCCCCAGCCUGCAGUGGGUACGGGCAGACUAGAGUGCGGUAGGGGAGAUUGGAAUUCCUGGUGUAGCGGUGGAAUGCGCAGAUAUCAGGAGGAACACCGAUGGCGAAGGCAGAUCUCUGGGCCGUAACUGACGCUGAGGAGCGAAAGGGUGGGGAGCAAACAGGCUUAGAUACCCUGGUAGUCCACCCCGUAAACGUUGGGAACUAGUUGUGG
rnacentral:rRNA from 1 species